rnacentral:rRNA from 1 species
AUUGAACGCUGGCGGCAGGCCUAACACAUGCAAGUCGAACGAGUGGCGGACGGGUGAGUAAUGACUGGGAAACUGCCUGAGGGAGGGGGAUAACUAAUGGAAACGGUAGCUAAUACAGCAUACCAUCAGAUGUGCCGAGAUGGGAUUAGCUAGUUGGUGGGGUACCGGCUCACCAAGGCGCCGAUCCAUAGCUGGUCUGAGAGGAUGACCAGCCACCCUGGAACUGAGACACGGUCCAGACUCCUACGUGAGUCAGCAGUGGGGAAUAUUGCACAAUGGGCGCAAGCCUGAUGCAGCCAUGCCGCGUGUAUGAAGAAGGCCUUCGGGUUGUAAAGUACUUUCAGCGGGUAGGCGUUACCCGCAGAAGAAGCACCGGCUAACUCCGUGCCAGCAGCCGCGGUAAUUC